GCUCCCGUAGUUCAAUGGACAGAACGUAGGAUUCCGGAUCCUAAAGUGUAGGUUCGAUUCCUACCGGGAGUACCA
rnacentral:tRNA from 1 species